UGCAUCAACUACAAGAAGCUCAUUUUCUGAUUACUGUAUUCAGCUCUUAUUCUUGAGUAGGAAGCAUGCUGAAAAGCACACAAUUAAAUCGGGAGGUCGGAACCUGGAAAUCUAAGAGACAGAACCAAUAGACUGAGAGCUUUAUUUCUGUCAUAAUGCUUCCUGCCUCCGGAUUCAAGCCAAUGCUGGAUAAUAGAGGCAACCACAUUGUGAGCAGCAAGACGAGAUUGUGAGAAGUGCAGGUAAAGUGCUGCUUCACCUGGAAGUGUCAUGGGACCUUUGGCAUAAAAUACAUUCAAGCGAUUGGGAAGCGACAGCCUCGGUUUAACACCCGAUUUGAAAGACAGCAUCUCCAACAGCACAGAGCUCCCUCAGAAAUCAAAAUAUGUCUACAUUUUGAAGAUCUCCUAUGUCUUAAGUACUGUUUGUCUGGCAAUGUUUGAUUUUAAUCCACUUGAGUCAGGUGCCUUUUCAAUUCCCUUUUUACUGUUUAACCUUUCGAUACUUGAUUGUAAUUUGUCUUUUUCCAUAACUAUUUUCAACUGUUGGUGCACACACCAAUUACUUUGCUUCAUGCUCAUGCUUAAUAACAUGCUUUGUACCCUUGUUUUAAGCUUAAAAACGUAACAUCUGAUACUUUACAAUUCUACCGUUUUAACUAUUCCACUUCCACUCCCACCCCUCUGGCAAUUAUUCCAAUUGUACACACGUUCCACCUAGUAACUUGGAUCAUCGGAACAUUUACAUUUUUGUGGCCAAAUGGAUCUGUUCUUUCAGCCCACUUCCCCCAUCUGUUUUCUUAUAAUUCCACAUUGACCCCGAUGCCUUACUGGCAUCUAGCGCUGUCUGCUCCAUGUUCUUUCCCAUCUUUUUAUAUGAUUGUCUCCCCAGCUCCAUCAAUUCCUCUGCAGCAAAAUUUUCUGAAGAAGAGUCUAGGCCUGAAACGUCAGCCUUCCUGUUCAGCCUGCUGUGUUCAUCCAGUUCUACACCUUGUUAUCUUAGUUAAACUAUUUAAACUUGAAAGCCCCAAAAUCUUUUGUUCAGAGCAAUGAAAAACAGUCAGUCAGUCAUUCACAAAAUAACAGUAAGUGUCCCACAGUGGACAGAAAACAUGAGGAACAAUUUUCAAAAUAUCACAUGAAAUGCAUUCCUCAUGGUUAAUGCAUUUCUAAACUCAGUGGUUCAUCAUUUCUGUUGCUGCUGUUUUUAAAAUCCAAUUGUAAUAUUGAAUAUAGAAAAGGAAUUUAUGAGCUCAUCAACAUCAAUAUUAACAGAAGAUCUCAAAAUGAACACAUUCAUGACAUAGAUCACUGCAAAGAAGGAGGUUGUCAAUGAUCUAUCAGCAAUAAGACAAUAAAUCAGCUGUCCCAACAUGUAUUGGGACAACAGGUGGGAUAGAAAUUAUUUUCAUCUGCCAAAGAAACAGAUUAUAAACUUCCAGCUGCAAGAAACCAGAGGAAUUCUGCAGAGUUGCAUCUCUGCAGCAAGUGUCAACAAUUAAUAAAAGGACAUGUGCAAGUU